rnacentral:misc_RNA from 1 species
ACCGUCUAAGCACAAACUACUUUGGCGGAGUUACAAUGAACAACAAUGUGCCAAUAAUAUUGAUAUGUGGAUUAGAAGUGCAUGUCAGUUCCGUAACCAAAGAUAUAUAUAUUUAUGCAUGGAUGGAAUGAUAAUAUAGUAAUGUACUAGAAAGAAAGUCCAAUUUUCCUUAAAAAAGCCAUAGUUAAUUGUAUGAAAAUGCUAUUAAUGCAACAAUAUUCACCCUAUAAUAACAGAAUGCAUAGAUACUCAAUCCAUAACAUGGAUAAUCUUUUGGCAUAUUCCUCAGAUGGUUAAUGGUUCCACUCAAGACAUUUAUUAUCCAGUGCUAAGCUAUCAAAUCUUUCCAUCAGAUUUCUAAGAAAGUUUUGAGUAAAUUGACCAAGUUGUAGAACUGCCCUUUAUUGAGCACACCAUGCCCAAGCAACAAGGAAAAUUUUGAAGACAAAACCAUUCACAUGUUAGAUGAGAUAUACAGCGAUGAAGAUAAAGUAAUAGGGUUUCAGUUUUGCAACAAACCUGUGGGAUUCCCGCAUAUAGA